UGGGGAAUAUUGCACAAUGGAGGGAACUCUGAUGCAGCGACGCCGCGUGAGUGAUGAAGGAAUUCGUUUCGUAAAACUCUUUUCUAUGGGAAGAAAAGGACUGUACCAUAGGAGAAAGCUCCGGCUAAAUACGUGCCAGCAGCCGCGGUAAUACGUAUGGAGCGAGCGUUGUCCGGAACUAUUGGGCGUAAAGGGUGCGCAGGCGGCUUUACAAGUUGGAUGUGAAAUAUUGUGGCUCAACCACAAACGUGCAUCCAAAACUGCAAAGCUUGAGUUAAGGAGAGGUAAGUGGAAUUCCUGGUGUAGCGGUGGAAUGCGUAGAUAUCAGGAGGAAUACCGGUGGCGAAGGCGACUUACUGGGCUUAAACUGACGCUCAGGCACGAAAGCGUGGGGAGCAAACAGG
rnacentral:rRNA from 1 species